rnacentral:lncRNA from 1 species
AUCAGGGUGGGCACCAUCUCAUCAGCUGCCAGUGCAGCUAGAAUAUAAGCAGGCAGAAAAAUGUGAAAAAGAGAGACUGGCCUAGCCUCCCAGCCUACAUAUUCCUUCCAUGCUGGAUGCUUCCUGCCCUCUAACAUCGAACACCAAGUUCUUCAGUUUUGGAACUCAGACUGGCUUUCUUGCUCCUCAGCCUGCAGACUGCCUAUUGUGGGAUUGAUAUGGUUUGGCCGUGUCUCGACCCAAAUCUCAACUUGAAUUAUAUCUCCCUGAAUUCCCGCGUGCUGUGGGAGGGAUCCUGGGGCAGAGAACCCUGACUAAUACAAAUGUGGAAGGACUAGACUGGCUUAGUCUUCAGGCCUACAUCUUUCUCCCGUGCUGGAUAAUUCCCACCCUUGAACAUCAUACUCCAAGUUCUUCAGCUCUGGGACUCAGACCUGCAACCACCGACUGUAGGCUGCACUGUCAGCUUCCCUACUUUUGAGGUUUUGGGACUCAGACUGGCUUCCUUGCUCCUCAGCUUGCAGCUGGCCUUUUGUGGGACUUCACCUUGUGUCGUGUUCAUCAUGUCAGUAUUCACAAUAGCAAAGACAUGGAAUCAACCUAAAUGGCCUAUCAGUGGUGGACUGGAUGGAGAAAAUGUGGUACAUAUACACCAUGGAAUACUACACAGCCAUAAAAAGAAUGAAAUCAUGUUACUUGCAGCAGCAUGGAUUCAGCCGGGGGACAUUAUCCUGAGUGAAUUAAUGCAGGAACAGAGAACGAAAUACCCAAACACUGCAUGUUCUCACUCACAAGUGGGAGCUAAACAUGGGUACUCAUGGACCUAAAGAUGGAAACAGCAGACACUGGAUUAGUAGAAUGAGGAGGAAGAGAGGGUGGCAAGGUUUAGAAAAGUAACUGUUGGGUCCAAUGUCACUACUUGGGUGAUGGGAUCAUCUGUGCCACAAACCUCAGUGUCACACAAUAUACCCAGGUAACAAACCUGCAC